rnacentral:misc_RNA from 1 species
GAACGCACAUUGCGCCCGCUAGUAUUCUGGCGGGCAUGCCUGUUCGAGCGUCAUUUUAACUUCUCAACCAUAUCGAAUUGUUUUUCGAGGUGGCUUGGACAUGGGGGUUUUUGCAGGCUUCAAUAAUGAAGUCGGCUCCUCUGAAACACAUUAGUGGUAUCUGAAGCAGAACUGCUACUAUUAGGUGUGAUAAUUAUCUAUGCCUCUUGGUAUACUGCAUGAACAGAUUGCGCUGCUUCCAACUUGUACACCCUUUGGUGUUUGACAAAUUUGACCUCAAAUCAGGUAGGACUACCCGCUGAACUUAAG